AUUGAACGCUGGCGGCAGGCCUAACACAUGCAAGUCGAACGAGUGGCGGACGGGUGAGUAAUGUCUGGGAAACUGCCCGAUGGAUGGGGUUAACUACUGGAAACGGUAGCUAAUACCGCAUACCAUCGGAUGUGCCCAGCUGGGAUUAGCUAGUAGGUGGGGUAACGGCUCACCUAGGCGACGAUCCCUAGCUGGUCUGAGAGGAUGACCGUCCAAACUGGAACUGAGACACGGUCCAGACUCCUACGGGAGGCAGCAGUGGGGAAUAUUGCACAAUGGGCGAAAGCCUGAGGCAGCAAUGCCGGGUGAAUGAAGAAGGCCUUCGGGUUGUAAAGUACUUUCAGCGAGGAGGCGUUACUCGCAGAGAAAGCACCGGCUAACUCCGUGCCAGCCGCCGCGGUAAUAC
rnacentral:rRNA from 1 species